rnacentral:rRNA from 1 species
GACGAACGCUGGCGGCGUGCUUAACACAUGCAAGUCGAACGGAAAGGCCCUGCUUUUGUGGGGUGCUCGAGUGGCGAACGGGUGAGUAACACGUGAGUAACCUGCCCUUGACUUUGGGAUAACUUCAGGAAACUGGGGCUAAUACCGGAUAGGAGCUCCUGCUGCAUGGUGGGGGUUGGAAAGUUUCGGCGGUUGGGGAUGGACUCGCGGCUUAUCAGCUUGUUGGUGGGGUAGUGGCUUACCAAGGCUUUGACGGGUAGCCGGCCUGAGAGGGUGACCGGCGACAUUGGGACUGCGAUACGGCCCAGACGCCUACGGGAGGCAGCAGUGGGGAAUAUUGCACAAUGGGCGGAAGCCUGAUGCAGAAACGCCGCGUGCGGGAUGACGGCCUUCGGGUUGUAAACCGCUUUCGCCUGUGACGAAGCGUGAGUGACGGUAAUGGGUAAAGAAGCACCGGCUAACUACGUG